GAUGAACGCUGGCGGUAUGCCUAACACAUGCAAGUCGUACGAGAGUUUUUAACUCUAGUGGCGGACGGGUGAGUAACACGUGAGAAUUUACCUUUAGGAGGGGAUAACAAUUGGAAACGAAUGCUAAUACCCCAUAUGCUUUCGAGUGAAAUGGAUUUAUAAUUAUCUGCCUAAAGAAAAGCUCGCGGCUGAUUAGCUUGUUGGUAAGGUAAGAGCUUACCAAGGCGACGAUCAGUAUCUGGUUUGAGAGGACGAUCAGACACACUGGAACUGAGACACGGUCCAGACUCCUACGGGAGGCAGCAGUGGGGAAUUUUCCGCAAUGGGCGAAAGCCUGACGGAGCAAUACCGCGUGAGGGAAGACUGCCUAUGGGUUGUAAAACCUCUUUUUUUCAGGGAGGAAUAAAAUGACCGUGUACCUGAAGAAU
rnacentral:rRNA from 1 species